UACAGAGGUGGCAAGCGUUGUUCGGAAUUACUGGGCGUAAAGGGCGCGUAGGCGGCCUUCUAAGUCAGACGUGAAAUCCCCCGGCUUAACCUGGGAACUGCGUCUGAUACUGGGAGGCUUGAGUAUGGGAGAGGGAUGUAGAAUUCCAGGUGUAGCAGUGAAAUGCGUAGAUAUGUGGAGGAAUACCGAUGGCGAAGGCAGCCCCCUGGGUCGACACUGACGCUCAUGCACGAAAGCGUGGGGAGCAAACAGG
rnacentral:rRNA from 1 species